rnacentral:rRNA from 1 species
GAUUAACGCUGGCGGCGUGCAUAACACAUGCAAGUCGAACGAUGAAACUUAACUGAUUUCUUCGGAAUGAUUUUAAGUGGCUUAGUGGCGGACGGGUGAGUAACGCGUGAGUAACCUGCCUUGGAGAAGGGGAUAGCCUUUGGAAACGAAGAAUAAUACCCUAUGAUAUGAUAAUAUCUCAUGAUAUUAUCAUCAAAGAUUUAUCGCUCUAAGAUGGACUUGCGUCUGAUUAUUUAGUUGGUGAGGUAACAGCUCACCAAGGCAGCGAUCAGUAGCCGGCAUGGGGGAGUGGACCACCCCAUUGGGACUGAGACACGGCCCAGACCCCUACGGGAGGCAGCAGUGGGGAAGUUUGAACAAUGGGGGAAACCCGGAUGCAGCGGCGCCGCGUGAUUUAGAAGGCCUUCAGGUUGUAAAAAUCUUUUGUAUGGGAAGAACAUGACGGUACCAUACGAGUAAGGACCGGCUAAUUACGUG